rnacentral:rRNA from 1 species
AGUGAACGCUGGCGGUAGGCCUAACACAUGCAAGUCGAACGGCAGCACAGUAAGAGCUUGCUCUUACGGGUGGCGAGUGGCGGACGGGUGAGGAAUACAUCGGAAUCUACUUUUUCGUGGGGGAUAACGUAGGGAAACUUACGCUAAUACCGCAUACGACCUACGGGUGAAAGCAGGGGAUCUUCGGACCUUGCGCGAUUGAAUGAGCCGAUGUCGGACUAGCUAGUUGGCGGGGUAAAGGCCCACCAAGGCGACGAUCCGUAGCUGGUCUGAGAGGAUGAUCAGCCACACUGGAACUGAGACACGGUCCAGACUCCUACGGGAGGCAGCAGUGGAGAAUAUUGGACGAUGGGCGCAAGCCUGAUCCAGCCAUACCGCGUGGGUGAAGAAGGCCUUCGGGUUGUAAAGCCCUUUUGUUGGGAAAGAAAAGCAGCAGGUUAAUACCCCGCUGUUCUGACGGUACCCAAAGAAUAAGCACCGGCUAACUUCGUG